CGACUCUGUUAGACGUCGGGAUCGGGUGAAAUCUCGCGAUUAUUACUCGGUGACGUAUGGUUAUUCAGAGAUGCAAAUGUGCAGUUUCUGCGGCCGGCACACGCGCGUCCCACUUUUCUUCGCGGUCGGAAUUUUAUUCGCGGCCUUUUCCAUUCGCAGCGCACGCAUACAGAGAGAGAGAGAGAGAGAGACGGGGGUCGAACUUCUCUCGGCCAGUAUUUGCGGUGAAACGUAACACGCGAUGCAAAACCGCCGAUACAUAACCACCUUUCGUGCGUCUAAUCGGGGUGGAAUUGGCUGCAUCUUUUGGAUGAUAAUUAUUUUCGUUCAGUUGGAGGCAGUUGAUUAAUUGGUUGAUGGAGUUGAUGGAGCGUGUUAAAUAGUUUCGUGGAACAAGGAAACCCUUGUCCCUUGCGGUCUAAAAUUUUUGCAAAGUACGUGUCGAGGGGUGAACGAUGUUGUUUGCACAGCUGCGAGUGGAACGAUCGUAGUGUAAAGCGUAGAGGGAGGGAUAGGAAUAUGUCGUCAGCUCGGUUGAAAAUUUUUGGUCGAGCAUUUUCCUUACGAAUUGAACGAUUAUUAAUCUCGAACUAUCGAUAAUUCGACACUUUGAUCCAAUAAAUUUCUUUCACAACGAAAUUCGUGGAAAAAACUUGAGAAUGCUCGUCUUCGUUUUCAACGUUAUUAGAACGUGCAGCGCGUUUAAUUAAAAAUGCUUGAACGCUCGGGAUCCAAGGUGAUUGAACGAUCGUGUUGAUCAUCGAUCAUAAAAAUGAUUUGUUCGACUCGAGAGAGAGAGAGAGAGAGAGAGAGAGAAAUAUCGACAAUUCCUCCAAUCAUAUUAAAGAUACGAAACAUUAUAUUUUCGCCAAAUUCGAUCAAAAGAAAUUGGUCAUACGCUUCGACUCGAAAUAUCUUCAUCCAUAAUCAUUCGAUAAUUGACGGUUAAAUAAAAUCGAUAAUAUUUGUACGAAUUGUCGAUUAAAUAUCGAUGAAAGAAAUCGACGAAAGAAGGAAGCGAGAGAGAGAGAGAGAAAAUAUAUUCCAACGAGUCGAGAGGAAGUCAUGUGAUAUUUUAAUAAGAAGAGAAUAUAACCCGUAAUCGAUUAAGAUCCGAUCUCCCUCGAUUUUUCUCCCUUUCUUCCGACUAACCUGUAAAUUACAGGUUGCAAGUGCCGGCUCGAACGCGCUCCUAUCGCGCUCGAAUCGCUCAGACAGCGUGAAAUUUAUGUGAAUAAAAAAA